rnacentral:rRNA from 1 species
UACGUAGGGGCAAGCGUUAUCCGGAUUUACUGGGUGUAAAGGGAGCACAGACGGCAGUGCAAGUCUGAUGUGAAAGCCCGGGGCUCAACCCCGGAACUGCAUUGGAAACUGUACAGCUUGAGUGUCGGAGAGGUAAGCGUAAUUCCUAGUGUAGCGGUGAAAUGCGUAGAUAUUAGGAGGAACACCGGUGGCGAAGGCGGCUUACUGGACGAUGACUGACGUUGAGGCUCGAAAGCGUGGGGAGCAAACAGGAUUAGAUACCCUGGUAGU